ACGUGAAAUUGUUGAAAGGGAAGCGCGCAUGACCAGACUUGGGCUUGGUUGAUCAUCCAGGGUUCUCCCUGGUGCACUCUUCCAGGCCAGGCCAGCAUCAGUUCGCUGUGGGGGAUAAAGGCUUUGGGAAUGUGGCUCCUCCGGGAGUGUUAUAGCCCAUUGUGUAAUACCCUGUGGUGGACUGAGGUUCGCGCAUCUGCAAGGAUGCUGGCGUAAUGGUCAUCAGCGACCCGUCUUGAAACACGG
rnacentral:rRNA from 1 species